GACGUAGGUGGCGACCGUUAUCCGGAAUUAUUGGGCGUAAAGGGUGCGUAGGCGGCAUGAUAAGUUAUUGGCGGGAAAUCGAGGCUCAACCUCGUGGAAACUAAUAAUACUGUUUUGCUUGAGUACAGGAGAGGUUAACGGAACUCCAUGUGGAGCGGUAAAAUGUGUAGAUAUAUGGAAGAUCAUCAAUAACGGCGAAGGCAGUUAACUAUUCUGUUACUGACGUUGAGGCACGAAAGCGUGGGGAGCAAAACGG
rnacentral:rRNA from 1 species